rnacentral:lncRNA from 1 species
GUCAUAGACUGAUCAUGUAUGAUCUUGUUACCGGAGCUUCUGAAACUUCAUUAAUGCUAUCUUCAAUCCCAGUACCUUGUUCUCUUACCUGUGGACGUCUUCUAAACUUAGGAGAGAAGCUGGUAAUGGUUGGAGGGAUUGCAAAACACAAUAGACCUGAUAUCAUUAAAGGAAUCGGCAUAUGGGAACUUGAUAAGAAACAAUGGCAAGAGGUAGGUCGAAUGCCUCACAAGUUCUUCCAAGGAUUUGGCGAGUUAGAUGAUGUCUUUGCCAGCAGCGGCACAGACGACCUUGUCUACAUCCAAAGCUACGGUGCAACCGCUUUGCUU